GUUUGAAGCUGAGCCUUACGGAAAGUCCAUUCUCGGGCCGGCGGCUCCCAGGCUGGCAGCAAAGACCUCCCCUGAUAGGGGCAGGAGAGCACAACCCAGAGGCCCGACCGACGGGUUCUACCCCAGCACCUCCCUGGUGGGGCGCGGAAUUUGGCUCCGCGUCGCCAUCUCGUGGCCUUAUGGAGCAGCGCCUGCCUGGUAACUGGGGAUGUCGCAAGGCGGGAAGCGACCGAGGCACGCGAAGCCCUCAGGAGUGAUUGGCUUCCGAGACCCCGCCCCCUUGUUAGGGAGGUCCUGGAGCUGGGACUGCGGUUACCAUGGCAACGGUUGAGCAGGCCCAGUCCCUUCCUCUGGCCACCCAGAAUCCUGCUCAGGACCUCGCCGGAGACCGGGAUGUGGACACCAGCGUUCCUUUUCAUCCUCCUUGCUGAAUAACCUGUGUAGAUGAAGAUGCUGCCUCCCAAAGCAGCAAGGCCUUCACCAACCAAUGAGCCUGCAUACGUACUGUAUGCAGGCGACACCAGCUUUGGAGAAAGAAAUGCAUAAAAUUAUUCCAGAACAUUCGAUCAUUCUAGACAGCAAAGAAGUUAUCAACCAAUCAAGGAUUCAAGGGUCAAUUUUUAAAUUUACUAUUUUU
ensembl:lncRNA